GAUGAAGAACGUAGCGAAAUGCGAUAAGUAAUGCGAAUUGCAGAAUCCGUGAGUCAUCGAAUCUUUGAACGCACAUUGCGCCCCCUGGUAUUCCGGGGGGCAUGCCUGUCCGAGCGUCAUUACAACCCUCAAGCUCAGCUUGGUAUUGGGCCCCGCCGCUCCGGCGGGCCCUAAAGUCAGUGGCGGUGCCGUCCGGCUCCGAGCGUAGUAAUUCUUCUCGCUCUGGAGGUCCGGUCGUGUGCUCGCCAGCAACCCCCAAUUUUUUUCAGGUUGACCUCGGAUCAGGUAGGGAUACCCGCUGAACUUAAGCAUAUCAAUAAGCGGAGGA
rnacentral:misc_RNA from 1 species